rnacentral:rRNA from 1 species
GUGUCAGCCGCCGCGGUAAAAYCAGCACCUCAAGUGGUCAGGAUGAUUAUUGGGCCUAAAGCAUCCGUAGCCUGCUCUGUAAGUUUUCGGUUAAAUCUGUACGCUUAACGUACAGGCUGCCGGGAAUACUGCAAAGCUAGGGAGUGGGAGAGGUAGACGGUACUCGGGAGGAAGUGGUAAAAUGCUUUGAUCUCUCGAUGACCACCUGUGGCGAAGGCGGUCUACCAGAACACGUCCGACGGUGAGGGAUGAAAGCUGGGGGAGCAAACCGGAUUAGAUACCCGGGUAGUCCCAGCUGUAAACUAUGCAAACUCAGUGAUGCAUUGGCUUGGUGCCAAUGCAGUGUUGCAGGGAAGCCGUUAAGUUUGCCGCCUGGGAAGUACGUACGCAAGUAUGAAACUUAAAGGAAUUGGCGGGGGAGCACCACAAGGGGUGAAGCCUGCGGUUCAAUUGGAGUCAACGCCAGAAAUCUUACCCGGAGAGACAGCAGAAUGAAGGUCAAGCUGAAGACUUUACCAGACAAGCUGAGAGGUGGUGCAUGGCCGUCGCCAGCUCGUGCCGUGAGAUGUCCUGUUAAGUCAGGUAACGAGCGAGAUCCCUGCCUCUAGUUGCCACCAUUACUCUCAGGAGUAGUGGGGCGAAUUAGCGGGACCGCCGCAGUUAAUGCGGAGGAAGGAAGGGGCCACGGCAGGUCAGUAUGCCCCGAAACUCUGGGGCCACACGCGGGCUGCAAUGGUAAUGACAAUAGGUUCCAAAUCCGAAAGGAGGAGAUAAUCCUCAAACAUUACCACAGUUAUGACUGAGGGCUGCAACUCGCCCUCACGAAUAUGGAAUCCCUAGUAACUGCGUGUCAUUAUCGCGCGRUGAAUACGUCCCUGCUCCUUGCACACACCGCCCGUC